rnacentral:rRNA from 1 species
AGUGGGGAAUAUUGGACAAUGGGGGCAACCCUGAUCCAGCCAUGCCGCGUGUGUGAAGAAGGCCUUCGGGUUGUAAAGCACUUUCAGCUGUGAGGAAAGGCAAGUGGUUAAUACCCGCUUGCUGUGACGUUAACAGCAGAAGAAGGACCGGCUAACUCCGUGCCAGCAGCCGCGGUAAUACGGAGGGUCCGAGCGUUAAUCGGAAUUACUGGGCGUAAAGCGCGCGUAGGUGGUUCAGUCAGUCAGAUGUGAAAGCCCCGGGCUCAACCUGGGAACUGCACCUGAUACUGCUGAGCUAGAGUACGGUAGAGGGUAGUGGAAUUUCCGGUGUAGCGGUGAAAUGCGUAGAGAUCGGAAGGAACACCAGUGGCGAAGGCGACUACCUGGACCGAUACUGACACUGAGGUGCGAAAGCGUGGGUAGCAAACAGGAUUAGAUACCCUGGUAGUCCACGCCGUAAACGAUGUCAACUAGCCGUUGGGGGACUUGAUCCUUUAGUGGCGAAGCUAACGCGAUAAGUUGACCGCCUGGGGAGUACGGCCGCAAGGUUA